AGUGAAGCGCACCCUGACCUGUCAUGGCGGUCUGUUCAAGUUGUGAGCUUCUGUUGACGUCUUUCACCUUCAUUUGGGGUAUUUCCAACAGUAAUCUGCCAUUUAGGCAUCCUUUCUUAUAAUACUGGAUUACAGACAGAGAUGAACGAUGUUCAUCCAGCAUCUGAUGGUGUUCACAGAACGUCAACAAAACAUGUCCAGAAAUCUGAUUUUUUUUUCAGACCACCUGCUGUGUCCUCAUCACAACUUCAGGAGGUGGAGCGGGCCUGAGGGGUGGCAGUUUGACUUUGGCUGGAGGAUGGUUUCUCAAAUCCUUAACUUCUGGCUUGUCUUCUGUGAAAUGCAUCAGCUUUCUCCAUUGCUGGAUCUUCUGUUUUAGCUGAAAGCAGAACCGUCCAUGUUAGUGUAGUUCAAAAUAACUGAACUUGGAUUUCAUUUGUGCGCUUGACGUUUGGCACUUGAAAUAAAGUUGUAACAUAAAAAUGC